AUUUAUUUCCUUUUUUUAAACGGUCUCUUGGGAGUCCUCCAGUGUUCUACUAAAUCACUAGAAUAAUCCUUGAAAGGUAACUUUUGUCUCUAUGAUUUGCAAUUUAAUUUUUUAAAAUUUGCAUUGG